UAUGCUUAAGGGAUACGUACGUAUGAAUUCAAAAUGCCACCCCUUUUGUGAGAGCCCUAACUCACAUACGUAACCUCCCCCCUAUUUUCUUAUCUUCUUUCUCGUUCUCCUCUUCCUUUCUUUUAGCCCCCAUAACCUCCAUAACCACCAAACUCCAUCCCCAACCAUCAUCGUAGCCACGGUCUCCCCUGUUAACAAUUACCACCAUCGACCACUACCCUUCUCCUCCUUCCAUUUCUCUUUCUUUCUCCACCCUUGUCUGUGUUGCCACUAGCCCAUGUUCUUCUCCCAUUCCAGCGACCUCGUUGCUGCCGGUGCCACCCUAAGCCACCGCCGCAAUGUCCAAUUUCCUUUCCUUUCUCUCUGUUUAGUUCUAUGUUCCAGGAUGACUAAUAGAAAAAGAAAGGGUAAGGCCACAGGGUUGGAAAAAAGAAAGAGAACCCAAUAGGCCGUUAAAUCAGUGGAUGAGGUGCAAACUGAAAGAGCCAUCAGUAGGAGAGAUAAGGAGAAUCAGAGUUUGCCUCCUACUGAUGAGUUCAAGUUCUCUAAUCUUUACUCAGAGUUAAAGUUCCCAGACUUUUGGAAACAUAAUCUGCACAUUGAGCAGAAGCUCCAAAUCCCCGAUGAGUUGAAUUAAAAUACUAAGGUUCGGAUUACUUAGCGAGGAUGGGUAUUGUUAGACUAGGAACUGGUGACUGUGAAUGCAUCACGGGUCUGUGAGUUCUAUGCCAAUUACUAUACGGGCCCUCGAUGCAAUUAACCUACAGGGCAAGAAGAUCUCGGUUACUGAGGAGGCAAUAGAGAGAAUCUUCCACUUUCUUCCUAAGACCAUUGACAAGGAUACUUCUGAAGAGGCAAAAAGUGAGAGGAAGUUAUUGACAUUUAAUUGGGAUAAGGUAAUGGAGGUCAUUGCCAUGCCUGGGACUACAUAGAUUUAUGGAGCAAGCAAGACAGCUCCCAGGGAUAUCUCAGUUCACGCCCUGACUAUGGAGGCUCGGAUAUGACAGCAGAUUAUAUCCAAUUACGUGAUGCCCAGCACACACGAGAUUGACAUUACUGCUAACAUAGCGGUCUUGAUCUGGUGUGUCUUGGAGGGUUAGAAACUGUACCUUCUAAAGCUCAUCAGAAAGCAUAUGGGGUGGGCUCACUACAUUGGUAACUUGGCUUUCCUCUGUUUGAUCACGCAGUUAGCUACGGAGGCCGAAGUUUGGCUUGCAACUGAUGAGAGACCGACAGUCGCUGGGAACAAGACGGUCAUACACAUGGUAACUGGUACAGGUCUCAGCCGACCGCCAGACGCAGAGGCCGCAGUCAUCCAGCAGCCACAUCAGAGGCCGGUACCUCAGCAGCAGCAUCAGAGCCACCAGCAGCACCAUCAUCAUCAUCACAGCCGAUAUACCAUCUGGUCCACCGGCUCUUUGAGGAAAUAGCUCGCGUGGAGCGCCGCUCCAAGCGCCGUUAUGAGAAUAUUAAGAGGCAUAACCAGGACUAGGACAAGAUGAUUGAGGAAUUGGACACCCUAUCUGAGCACAACGAGGAGGAGGAGCAGGAUCUACCAGCUGGAGGUGGAGAUGACGAGGAUUCCUUCCAUUCCAUGUGAGCACCGAGGAUGAUGCUUGAUUUUAAGUGUGGAGAGAUCGUCUGACCGAAUUGGCAAAUUUUUUUGGUGAAAAUGCUUCUAUUCCGAACACUUCUAUUUCAAUUUUUAGUAUGCUUUUUGGAUAUUUGUAUAUAUUUUACUAUCUUGAACGCUUUUCUAGAUUCUGCACUUUAUUAGUUUGAUUUGUAUAUAUUUUUACUACAUAUUCUAGUUUACUUUAGUUUAUUGUAUCUUCUUGAUUAUGGUGUGUAUGUACAUAGUUUUAAUGGUAGUUGAUUAGCUAUGAUUGGA